AGCUCCAAUAGCGUAUAUGUAAGUUGUUGCGAUUAAAAAGCCCGUAGCUGAACCUCGGGCAACCCUGACGGUCCGCGUUUCGUGAGUACUGUCGUGGGUUGUCUUUCUGGCAAGACCGUAUCUCGGUGUUUACUCGCCGGGAACGGCGCUUGCCAAGGUUACUUUGAGUAAAAUAGAGUGUUCAAAGCAAGCUCGCGCUCUGAAUACACUAGCAUGGGAUAACACGACAUGACCGAUGGUCUAUCUUGUUGGCCUGUAGACCUGUUGGUAAUGGCUAAUAGGGACGGUCGGGGGCAUUCGUAUUUCGCUGUCAGAGGUGAAAUUCUUGGAUUUGCGAAAGACGAACUACUGCGAAAGCAUUUGCCAAGGACGCUU
rnacentral:rRNA from 1 species